UACGUAGGGAGCAAGCGUUGUCCGGAAUCAUUGGGCGUAAAGCGCGCGUAGGUGGCUUCGUAAGUCCGUUGUGAAAGUCAAAGGCUCAACCUUUGAAAGCCGAUGGAUACUGUGAAGCUAGAGUGCGGAAGAGGCGAGUGGAAUUCCUGGUGUAGCGGUGGAAUGCGCAGAUAUCAGGAGGAACACCAAUAGCGAAGGCAGCUCGCUGGGACGUUACUGACACUGAGGCGCGAAAGCGUGGGGAGCGAACAGG
rnacentral:rRNA from 1 species